AACACAUGCAAGUCGAACGAUGAUCCCAGCUUGCUGGGGGAUUAGUGGCGAACGGGUGAGUAACACGUGAGUAACCUGCCCUUGACUCUGGGAUAAGCCUGGGAAACUGGGUCUAAUACCGGAUAUGACUCCUCAUCGCAUGGUGGGGGGUGGAAAGCCUUUUGUGGUUUUGGAUGGACUCGCGGCCUAUCAGCUUGUUGGUGGGGUAAUGGCCUACCAAGGCGACGACGGGUAGCCGGCCUGAGAGGGUGACCGGCCACACUGGGACUGAGACACGGCCCAGACUCCUACGGGAGGCAGCAGUGGGGAAUAUUGCACAAUGGGCGCAAGCCUGAUGCAGCGACGCCGCGUGAGGGAUGACGGCCUUCGGGUUGUAAACCUCUUUCAGUAGGGAAGAAGCGUAAGUGACGGUACCUGCAGAAGAAGCGCCGGCUAACUACGUGCCAGCAGCCGCGGUAAUACGUANGGCGCAAGCGUUAUCCGGAAUUAUUGGGCGUAAA
rnacentral:rRNA from 1 species